UUAGAGUCUGAAUCCUCCUACCCCAGCGAAGAUCAUGCUCUCAUAUCAAACGAAAACCAAACCAUUGCUUCGAACAGAAGAGCUAUUCCCUGUCAAGUUCUGCAUCCCACCCGGGCACUUUCCACCCGGGCACCUCCUCCAAAGAUACCAUUGCUUCGAGACUGGAGGCUUCAAGGGGGAAGGAGCCUGGGUGCAAACAGAAACAAGAUAAAUGUGCACAGGACUUGAGUGGAGACCUCAGGGAGACCGACCGGCAUCUUCCCAGACUGCUGAGUGUCUCAGGUCCAUGGUCCACGGCAUGGUCAAGAACUGGAGUCUACCUGGAGACGCGGAAGCUACAGAGGUCCGAGACAGGAUGUGAUCAGCCACCUUCCUGCUCCUGCUGCCAUGCCUCUCUGGCAUUACAGGUUCUCCCUCAGGAACCAGAAGCUAAAUAAGCCCUCUCCUCUCCAAGUUGUUUUGGUCAUGGUGUUUUGUCACAGCAAUAACCCCAACCAAGAGAGAGGCACUAAGGAAAUGGGUUUCCCUGGCCUUGCCUGAGAAUCUGCAGGAUGUUUGCUUGAAGCUAUGCAUGCCACUCAGGCUGCUUGUGUCAUGGCAGAGAUACUGACACCGUGGACUCUGGGUGCGGAGACUGCAGGGCCCAAGUCCCCACUCUGCUACAAAUGGCGAGCCUGUCAUGAUUUAGAUACAAUACCCCUUAAAAAAUGUCUGGGGUGAAGGGGCUGAAGAGUUGGCUCUAUGGGUAAGCAUGCGCACUGCUUUUGCAGAAGACCCGAGUUUGGUUCCCAAGCACCCAUGAUGGGAUUCUCACAGACACCUAUAACUUCAUCACCACGGGAUCUGCUGCCCUCUUCUGGCCUCUGAGGGCAUCUGCACUCAUAUGCACAUAC